GGUUGGCGUGCUUUGUGUGUGUCGUGCUCCGGUUUCUGUACCCAAACUUGGGACUCAUAAGCGGCGUUGGCCGUUCCUGUUGUGUGCAGCUUCGGAGGGGACUUUGAAAAGCGUGGUGUCUGCUCUUCCUCACUGCGAGACGGUGACUGGGUUUGAGCUGUGCGCUGAGCUUAAGCUCCCUUCGCUCCGCUGAGGCCACAGCUUGUGGCUUCUUCUCCUCCUCUGUGCACUGUGUGGGGC